AUUGAACGCUGGCGGCAGGCCUAACACAUGCAAGUCGAGCGGAUGAAGGGAGCUUGCUCCUGGAUUCAGCGGCGGACGGGUGAGUAAUGCCUAGGAAUCUGCCUGGUAGUGGGGGAUAACGUCCGGAAACGGGCGCUAAUACCGCAUACGUCCUUAGGGAGAAAGUGGGGGAUCUUCGGACCUCACGCUAUCAGAUGAGCCUAGGUCGGAUUAGCUAGUUGGUGGGGUAAAGGCCUACCAAGGCGACGAUCCGUAACUGGUCUGAGAGGAUGAUCAGUCACACUGGAACUGAGACACGGUCCAGACUCCUACGGGAGGCAGCAGUGGGGAAUAUUGGACAAUGGGCGAAAGCCUGAUCCAGCCAUGCCGCGUGUGUGAAGAAGGUCUUCGGAUUGUAAAGCACUUUAAGUUGGGAGGAAGGGCAGUAAGUUAAUACCUUGCUGUUUUGACGGUACCAACAGAAUAAGCACCGGCUAACUUCGUG
rnacentral:rRNA from 1 species